rnacentral:lncRNA from 1 species
UGUAACUCUUCCUUUCCUGUCUUUCCAGCUCUUAGGAUACUUCAUAAGUCACAGUUUAGUGGGGAUUCACACACUCAUCCAUUUAAUCUUUUUUGUAUUCAUCUAUCCAUGUAUCCAUUCAUCUAUGUAUUUGAAUGCUGAGCACUCACAGCGUAGCCUUUUCAACGUGCCUGGAACCAUGUCUUACCCAUGAGAGGGGACACCAAACUCAAUAAGCCUUGGUUCCAUCCCCAGUGAGCUCAUGUAAGCAGAAAUUGAAACAGAGCCGGGUGAAAGUGCUGUGACAAAACUGUGUGAACACAGAAGAUGAAAACGCAGAGCAGCAGGUGAGGGAGAGCUUCCUGGACGAGGUGUCACCUGCACCAAGCAUUCAAGAAAGAUCAAUUGACAUUUACUACUUGCCGAAGAACAGGUUAGAAGCAAUCAGCAACCUCACUCCUGGCCUGGAAUCAAGCCGAGUGAGUCACAGAGUCCUGGACCUUGGUGAGAGUCCCAUCCAACUUCCCUCCCCAAGUACACCCCUGGGGACCAAUUACAACCAUCUGCUUAAGAGUUAUUACUGUGUCCCCCAAAUUAAAAGCUACAAAUUGUCAAACAGAAGGAAUACAAGAACAGACUAAAAUGACUACAUCUUAAACCAUUUGUAGAAUGAAUAAUCCCCAGACAGCUUCGGAUGCGUGUGGCUGAGACCUUAGAAAGUGCAAGUCAAGUGUGAGGGAGUGAUGGGCAGAGGCUUUGUUUCCAUUCAAAUGGGACGAUAGAUGGGUCCAGGAACCCCAGACAGUGUGUGGAUGCUAUUGCUACAUCGUCCCUGCCUACAGUCCAGCUCCAUUUGGGAGAAUGUGUACAAAGGCUUUUUGGUCCGAGUGGUUUCUUUAUGGGCAGAUUUACUCUUGCAAGAUAUGUUUUAAGGCAAAGGAAGUGUAACAGGAAACCUGCAGCAUGUUAAGAGUUAGCUAUUCUCUUGGAAAAAGUGGAAUGAUUCAGUGAACACUCUGAAGCAUGCAAUGUGUGAUCAAUAUGUGAGAAGAGAGGAUCAAGAUGAGGAAAUCCUAACUAGGAAAAGACAAGAGAAGAGGAUUUCAGUGUUAACACCAUUUAAAAGCCAAGCAUCCCUCUGAUAAUGAACUCUUGCUACAAACCACAAGGGACAACUGCCUUUUGCUUUAUUAAAAAAUAAAAAGAUGGGGAUGUCUAGACAAGAAAUAUAUUAGAGAUCAUGUCUUAAAUGUUCUUGUACUGGAAGAUAUAAAACCAUACACCCUCCUUUCUCACUUUCCUGCUUCUUUACAACCAAAGCCCAAGAAGGAAAAAAUCGUGGAAGAAAUCGUCUGGGUCCCAGGGCCAUUCCCACAUACAGGAAAAGCAGGCGCCUCCAU